rnacentral:lncRNA from 1 species
CCCCUAAUGAAAUAAGAAUGGGGGUUUAAAUAGGUGUUGAGCAUUAAACCCCCCACUCUUCUUGAAAACUUAAGAGUCAAUGCAUGCAUUAGACUCUUUGUUUUCCCAAGGUGUCACCCAAGAAGACCAAUGGAAUUUCCUUUAUACCUAAAGAGAUGAUAACAAAACAAUGAUGAAAGCAAAACUCAAUUCAACUCCCAAAAGAGCACCAAAGAUGAAAUAUAUAUAUUUUUUUUCUUUUUAGAAGUAAUGAUUUUAGGAGGAGCAUGAAAGAUCAAAUUUAAGACUAAAAAUAUUUUAUUUAUUUUUAAAAAAAAUAGAAUAAAAAGAUAAAAAAUAAGAAAAUUAUUUUUUUUCCAGUCUUUUUUUUUUUUUUCCCACCCCCCCCCCCCCCCCCGAAAUGAAAGAAGAAAGGGUUUAAAUAGGUGUGGAUCAUUAAACCCCCCACUCUUCUUGAAAACUUAAGAGUCAAUGCAUGCAUUAGACUCUUUGUUUUCCCAAGGUGUCACCCAAGAAGACCAAUGGAAUUUCCUUUACUUUCUUUUCUUUUUCUUUUUCUUUUUUCAAGAUAAAAUUAAUUGAAAGACUACAUUGCCCUUUUAGAUGACCC